CCUACGGGAGGCAGCAGUGGGGAAUAUUGGGCAAUGGCGGCAACUCUGACCCAGCAAUGCCGCGUGAAUGAAGAAGGUCUUCGGAUUGUAAAGUUCUUUAAUCAGGGACGAUAAAGAUGACAGUACCUGAGGAAGAAGCCACGGCGAACUAUGUGCCAGCAGCCGCGGUAAUACAUAGGUGGCAAGCGUUCUGCGGAAUGGCUGGGCGUAAAGGGAGCGUAGGCGGGCUGGUAAGUUGGAUGUGAAAUCCCGGGGCUCAACCCCGGAACUGCCUUUAAGACUGACGGACUUGAGUGCAAGAGGGGUAAGCGGAAUUCCUGGUGUAGCGGUGGAAUGCGUAGAUAUUAGGAGGAACACCAGUUGCGAAGGCGGCUUACUGGAUUAUAACUGACGCUGAGGCUCGAAAGCGUGGGUAGCAAACAGGAUUAGAUACCCCUGUAGUC
rnacentral:rRNA from 1 species